rnacentral:rRNA from 1 species
UACGUAGGGGGCAAGCGUUGUCCGGAAUCAUUGGGCGUAAAGCGCGUGUAGGCGGUUCGGUAAGUCGGCUGUGAAAGUCCAGGGCUCAACCCUGGGAUGCCGGUCGAUACUGCCGGACUAGAGUUCGGAAGAGGCGAGUGGAAUUCCUAGUGUAGAGGUGAAAUUCGUAGAUAUUAGGAAGAACACCAGUGGCGAAGGCGGCUCACUGGCCCGGUACUGACGCUGAGGCGCGAAAGCGUGGGGAGCAAACAGG